CAUCCCAUAAUUUCCACCUAGCUAUUAUGAGGUCUCAGAGUCACAUCAUUGACAAUAAUCCUACUCGUUUUGUCUUGGUGCAGUGGCAUGGCCUUCUCCAAGAUGGCACUUCAUGGGAGAAGUGGGAUGAAUUGCGCUCUACUUGAGGACAAGGUCGAUUUUGAAGAGGAGAGUAAUGAUAGGGACCCAACAGUUGGGCCUAGUGUGCAAGGAAUGACCAAGAGAACUAUUACCAAGCCAGGAAAAUGGAAGAACUUAGUGACAACUGACAAGCGACACAAGCAUUCUAGAAGAUUGAUGAGUUUGUUAGGAAUUUGGCUGUAAG
rnacentral:lncRNA from 1 species